UACGGAGGGUGCAAGCAUUAAUCGGAUUUAUUGGGCGUAAAGGGCGCGUAGGCGGAGAUAAAAGUCAGAUGUGAAAUCCCGAGGCUCAACCUCGGAACUGCAUUUGAAACUUUAUCCCUAGAGGGUAGGCGGAGAAAACGGAAUUCCACAAGUAGCGGUGAAAUGCGUAGAUAUGUGGAAGAACACCGGUGGCGAAGGCGGUUUUCUAGCUUAUUCCUGACGCUAAAGCGCGAAAGCAAGGGGAUCAAACAGG
rnacentral:rRNA from 2 species